CAACACGCUCUGGUCACGCUCUUCGCCUUUUGAUCUGGUUCGCCAAGGACCAAGGUCCAAAAGAUAUUUGAUAAGCUUAGGAGUUUCCUGGAGAAACCCUUGGAUUUAGGAGUGAUGCUG